CUGGCCCCCUGUUUAAAAAGUUUGAGGACCCCUGCUGUAGGGUGUUCAUCUAUGAACAGCAAUUGCAUGUGCUCAUGAUCUGUACGUCCAGGAUGUUUAGCAAUCCAUGGCGUAAUAAAUUUAGCACGGGGGUCUUCGUAAAAGGCGCAAUGCGGGAGGACGUGUUCUAUAGAUUCAACCUCCCUUGAAUCACAUGGACAUAGUCUAGCGGCCAGUGGAAUUUUUUUAUACCUUCUCUCCAAGACAGCAGAAGGGAGGGCAUGGCAGCGUGCUAAGGAGAAAGCUCUCCGAUGGCAGGUAAUUUCAAGGUGGUCAAGAUAACUAGCGACCGAAACUGUGUAUUUUUUAAAUGGAGGAGACAGGAAGAGUGGUGUCUUUCCAAUAUCUUCUUGUCUCUCAAUAUCCUUUAUUCUUUGUUUUAAUUCUUGUUUCGCUCGAUUAAAAUCCAUUUCCAGGAGAGUAUCUUGAGAAUAUCGUAAUUUUAGAAGAUUUGCGUGAAUGGCCUUAAUCCAUGACGACUGGAAAUUAUCUUGAAAGAUACAAGAAACAAGAAAGACAAAAAGACAGAGAAGGAGAGAGAUGUAAGUAAUGAUCGAAGAGAAAGGGAGAGGUCUACCUCAAAGAAAAAGAGUAGUAAAGACAAAGAGGUCAAAGAGAAAUCAGAUAAAGCCACAACUGUGAAGGAUAAAGAUCUCAGUAAAGAGAAUCAGAAAUCUGAAAUCACUAAAGCAGUGGAGAAAGAGGAGACAACCAUUGCCGAAGAAAUUGAACAACAACAGAAUGGGAACUGUCAACCAAAUGAAGAAACAAUCUCAAUUAAAACUGAAGAUGUGUAGAGUGUUGAAUGGACAUUUGACCCAUUUCACAAAAGAAGUACAAAACCUUUUCCCCUGAUCUCCACAAUCCAUCAAGAGGAUAAAAAAUUACUGAGCAAUCAACUGGACGUAUCGAAUUGUGCUAGCAGCUAUUCCAGUCUUGGUGGUUCAUUUGUCUUGAGGACAGACAGGAAGCAGGACUGACCAAUAGGAUAUGCUGUGACAAAAGCCAACAGCAACGGUCAAAUCCUCCAAAAUUGAUGCAUUUCAUUGCUAAUAAGAUAGGACAACAGCUAUUACAAAUAAGUGGGUGCAGUCUGUACUACCCUGAAAAGCUGCUGAGGGAUGCAUUUAGAAGUUGUUAAAAUAUUUGUAGGUUGAUGAAUUUUGUUUUUCUUAUGGUUUUAAAACUAAACUCCAUGUGAUAUGUUUUGAUGAUGUGCUUGAAAAUGGUGCAGAGAUAAACAUAUUUCCCUUGAUGUUGUAAAUUACAGUGAUGAAAAGUUUUAACCUAACACAGUUUUACAGUUGUGUUUAUGCCCACGAAGGCAAGUGAAAAUUCUUUCCUCUGUUGUUUGUGACUUUCUUUUUAUAUUUUUAAAUAAUUUCUUUACAACAUAAGUCUAAAAUACUUCUCUUAACUAGUAGUUGAUCAAUGCAUGCUAAUGUUCUGAUUCUAAAAAGAAGAUCCAUGUUUAUACUAGAGUUCCAUUCUUCCAAUUAUAAGCACUUCUAUGUAGUAAUUCCAAACAACUGACUUUGUCUUGAGCUGUAUUGCAGAGUGCCUAGUCACUUGCAAAUAGAACAGAAACACAGAUGAAUAUUUUACUUUUGAACUGAGAUGUAGAGCACAAGCUGAUGCUUCAGUGCCUUUGACACAGAGAAUAGUGAUUUCUAGUAAUGUAGGUGUUUUUUAAUUUCUCUCUUUUUGAAUUGUUCUUUUUGAUGAUUCUGUCACACCAAUAGGCAAGCAUUUGAAAGCUCUGUCAGUCAUGUCAACUGUUAGUUAUUUGAUGUAAUUUGAAGAUCUCCUGAUUUUAAGUAAAAAAUCCCAUAGGUAAUUUAAUUGCUGUUUAGGGAUCACAAUAUGGCAGGCUUGACCCAGUAUAUAAUCCAAUUAAUCCAUAAAUUUUUGGACCAUAUACCAGAUCAGGGAGUUGAAUAGUGCUAAAGUAAUUUAUCUGAACAGGACUGGAAUAUGGAAAGCUCCCUUUAAAAGCAUGUAUCUUCUUAUGGACUAAAUGUUAGAGUAUAUUUCUGUACUAGUGGUGUAACAUCACAGGAAAAGAAGUAUCUAAGAUUCCUGUUCUGUUUGAUAAAGAUCUGAAAGAAAACAGCACACAAUGGGUGCAACUCAUUCUGGCCUCAUUACAGCCUUUUAAGAUUUACAGCAAAAGGCUGUACCUUACAACACAGUUUCUGUAAAAUCAAGAGCGAUUUGAAUACAGUGUAAUACAAUCAGAUGGCCUUGCAUCACUGAAGAGAGGUAUGGAAAGCCAAAUGAGCAUAUAGCUUUCAAUUUGUGUUCUCAAUAUUUCAGUUGAUAGACAUGGGAGUAUUUAUGAAAAAAUGAAAGCUGCAAGGUAAUAGAGCCCCUAGAUUGUGACACUGCUUUAGUAGCUCAUUGUUGGGGUUUUUUUGUUUUUUGUUUUGUUUGUUUUUUUGUUACAGUCUAAAGUUUUUUUCUUCAAAAAACUUUAGUGAAUGCUUUACCAUGUAAAGUAUGGACAGUAAUUUUGUGAUGUUUAUGCCACAUGAAGUUGGCUAGCAAACAGCUUAUUCUGAUAAAGCAAUGACAAAUCUCAUGCUUCUUGAAGGACUGUGAAAGAUUGUGUCUUGGAACAACAGUUGUCAUAUUUAUGAUGUGUAAGUAGCAUAGAGCAAAGAUUGUAUACUUGCUAUCUUUGGUACCAUCACUAAUAAAUUUAAGUAUUUUAGAGGGAAGUAGUUUUGAUUUACUUUUUAAAGGAAUGCCUAGGACUUGAUUAUCAUUUACCGGGACAGCUGCGUUUUGUUAUGCAGAUACUUUGGUUUGCAUUGGUACAUAGCAGAGCAGGUUAAAAAAUGGAAUACUGAACAGGUAUAUAUUAAAAGUUUGUAACUUUUCGGUAUAAAGUGAUGCUCAGUACUUUAUAUUCAUAUAGCUUAUUUCAUAUGUUCCAAGUAUUUCACAUAUAUUGUCAAAGAUGCUGUUACUUUAGCUUACAAAUGGAGGCUGAGGUGAGAAUUGGUCUAGUGAGUUCCUGAUUGGGAUCAAUUUAAAAUUAGUUAAUGUAGCUGAAUAAGUUAAGAUCAUGAAAAUCUAUAAUAAAAUUCUCCUUCCCUGCUUAAAUUGCAUCAGAGCAUUGAUACACUUUUUGUUCUGGUUCCAUGUAGUUCUACGGGAAUACGCAAACAUUUCCUUAUAUAAAAUACUGCACCAAACUGAAGAAUACUGUAGCUGAUGUUUGCAUGAUUUUUUCCUCUCCCCAGCCCUAAGGUCUUUCCUGGGGCUCAAGGAGCCCUCUUGUAGAGUCUGAACAGUAUGGUUGCAAUGGGAGGGGAAUGUGGGGGCAGGAAGAUGCAGAGCAAAGAAUAAGAGAAGGAGUGCCCCCCUGGAAACAAUUGCAAAAGUAAGACAAAAUGUACAAUUUAUUUCAACAGGACAAAAUCUGUGUAUUAUGAUGCUAUCGGUUAAAAAGAUACAGAUAAAUUCUCAAGUUUAAUUUACAUAUUUU